rnacentral:lncRNA from 1 species
GGGAGUAAUUAGCACUCACUACAUUAGCAGUGAAAAAAAAUCAGAGCUUGUUGCCAGCUCCCCACUCCCGCCCCCUUUCCAAGGCAAAGCUUGACUUUCUCUCAGUCUGAGUCAAAGGGUCUUUGUUCAUUUCCUGCACUAAUUCGCCAAGUGGCGAUGCAGAAGUGAUUUUUUUUUCAAUUGCAGAUGCUUCCAUCCUAUUGAAAACACAGAUACGAGUGUUCUUUCUUCAGUUUAAGAUUGAGAGAUGGCUACAUAUUACAGAAUACACACCCAGAAGAUUCUUGCUGGUUCACUCACAGGUGGCUGACGUGGUACAGACGGGGCUUUAGUUGGUUUGCCUUUCACUGUCGGCCCUUGAGCCAAAAUGCAUAGAUCUGUUCUGAUUAUGUCUCAGCCUGAGGUGGAUGGACACCGUGCUUAACUCACACAUACGUCACACCAGCUUGAUGAGAUUCCGAUGCUGCCUUAUCAGUCCUGGCUUUGUUGCAGCUGUAUAACAGGCUCGGUCCCACAUCUGUGAUAAAACCCUCUGCAUUGCUAACCCAGCUAGUCUCUUUACCUUUCUCCUCAUACUGCACCUACUUUGGACUCACAGUCUCCUUUGCUUCUGAGAUCACAGGUCUCCUUCCUGCCAUUGUGGUAGCCUCCACUCCACUCCACAUCACACCAUGUCUGAGGGAGUGGGGCGAGAGUGCUAGGCUCUGUCAACCAGUACACUGCAGAAGAUGGGCACACAGAGGAAAACCUCAUUGUGUCGUUAACCAAGCCACGGCACAGUCUGUGCAGCUGCGUCAUUCGCUUUCACAAAAGCACAAGGAGCUAAAUCAUUUACAAACACCCAAUGACUCCUUCAAUGCCACAUUUUUGGUCAGAGAUACUUCAUUGUUAAGAACAACCACUGCGAAGCUAACACACAUAUCAUUUUGCCCUUCUGAAAGAAUUUGCAUCCCUGCUACCUUGGCAUCCAUGUAGCACCAGUUAAAUGCAGUUUUGUGAGACAUUAAGUAUACUGAUGUGGCUUGCUGGUGUGCAUGUGCCUGUGUAUGUCUAGGAAACAUCGCGCUACAGAGGCGAGAGGGAGAAGGAUAAAGGAGGGAGGGAGGGUAAGUGCAUGAGAGCAAGAGUGAGCUGUGCGAAAAGGGGGAAAAAUAUAUCCAGAGGACUCACUGCAAUGCAGUUUUACAUACAGACCUGUAGGAGCAAACGGAAUGUUAUUAGACCAUAAAAGCACAUCAGGCUGAUUUAUGGUUUCUGAUCAAGGUUUCUGUGAAAAUUACUCUGCAUCACCAGCUCAAGGUGACUGCUACCAUUAAUGUGUGGAAAAUAAAUGAGAUAGAGAGUCUGAUAGCAGAGGAAGGAGAAAAGCAGGAGGCAGUUUAUACAGCACAGGUUCCCCAUUUUGUUUUACAGUGCAGAGAAGCCUGUCAUCAAAAUGAUUGCUGUGGGGCAGGAAAGGCAAUUCUGGGUAAUUAGAUCUUAUGGCAUGUAGCUGGUGCUUUCUUACAUCCAGUGUGUUUGGAUAUUAGGAUGGACGAGUGCUUUCUACAUACCUGCUUCUCUGCUCUCUGCUCCUAUUCAGGUAUAGUGCCUUAGAUUUAGAGGAAAAUAUAAUGUAGUGCCGUUUCCCUGACUCUAUUUCUUUUUAAUCACGAUCACUCCCCCUCGACUGUUUUGUUACUCUGUUUGCUGCUAAAGAGAAUUCCUCUCUUCCAAAUAAAUAAGCUUUCACAUUUGAGACUUUUCCAGGAGAACUGAUAUCCACAACUGUUUUGCAUAUCAUCUUGAUGUCAGAAACAAUUCUACUGGCAUUUCUCUUCCUGACGGCUGAGAUUCCAACAUGGAAACACUUCAUAGAUGAAGGUUAUGCUGUGCAUUUAGAUGUGAGAAGAGACCACAUAUCACAAGAUCUUUCAAACACGCCUUCUGCAAAAGAAAAGCUGUUGGUUUGCAGAUGCCAAACCCUCUUCUUGAUUACACUAAGCAUUACACAUGGGUAGGGGGUUGGGGAGUGUGGUCUGGUGCUAGCUUCUCCCUGUAAAUGCUGGUAAAGUAUCUGCCAUUUUGAAAUGCUUGAGCUGAAACAGUAUAUUGAAAGGUUUCCAAAUCCUGUCUCUGCAUCUCUCUCCCUGACUGUUAAAGUUUGCCCUCUGGUGCGUUUGUGUAGCAGUCCACAUGUGUAUUGCAUGGUGUCUGCUUCCACAGCUGGCCUCUGUAAUGGUGAUGACCAUUUAAAAAAAAAUAUGCAUGCUUUCAGGAAAGGCACAGAGCAGAGAACACUCUGUACCUACAGCC